UUGGAUACAAGGAGAAUCUUACAGAAUGCAAAUGAACUUGGAAGAAUUAGCAAUAAUUUCAAAACAUUAGAGAUGUGACACUGAGCGAAAGAGGUAAUCGAACUCUGUCUGUGAUGGGAACAAUAUCUGAAAGGAAUAUUUUUAUUUAAAGAGAUGCUUCUUAAAGUAACGUCUCCAGAUGAACCGUAUCACUUGGGAAUUCAUUGGAAGUAAAUGGCUACAGACGUACUGAAUUGGAAAUCGUGGGCGUGGAGCCCAGCAAUCUGUGCCUGAAGGAGCCACCCAGAGCCAGGAACCAUGCUUGAUGCAAGAACCAGAGCUUCUCCAGGAGAACCAACAGCUCAAACAGCAACUCGUAGGAGAACCUACAACGUCUCAA